GUACAUACAGGUCAGGUUAGGACCAGGUACAUACAGGUCAGGUUAGGACCAGGUACAUACAGGUCAGGUUAGGACCAGGUACAUACAGGUCAGGACCAGGUACAUACAGGUUAGGACCAGGUACAUACAGGUCAGGUCAGGACCAGGUACAUACAGGUUAUGUUAAGACCAGGUACAUACAGGUCAGGUUAGGACCAGGUACAUACAGGUCAGGUUAGGACCAGGUACAUACAGGUUAGGACCAGGUACAUACAGGGCAGGUUAGGACCAGGUACAUACAGGUCAGGUUAAGACCAGGUACAUACAGGUUAGGACCAGGUACAUACAGGUCAGGUUAGGACCAGGUACAUACAGGUCAGGUUAGGACCAGGUACAUACAGGUCAGGUUAGGACCAGGUACAUACAGGUUAGGACCAGGUACAUACAGGUUAGGACCAGGUACAUACAGGUCAGGUUAGGACCAGGUACAUACAGGUUAGGACCAGGUACAUACAGGUCAGGUUAGGACCAGGUACAUACAGGUUAGGACCAGGUACAUACAGGUCAGGUUAAGACCAGGUACAUACAGGUCAGGUUAGGACCAGGUAUAUACAGGUCAGGUCAGGACCAGGUACAUACAGGUUAGGACCAGGUACAUACAGGUCAGGUUAGGACCGGGUACAUACAGGUCAGGUUAGGACCAGGUACAUACAGGUCAGGUUAGGACCAGGUACAUACAGGUCAGGUUAGGACCAGGUACAUACAGGUCAGGUUAGGACCAGGUACAUACAGGUUAGGUUAGGACCAGGUACAUACAGGUUAGGACCAGGUACAUACAGGUCAGGUUAGGACCAGGUACAUACAGGUCAGGUCAGGACCAGGUAUAUACAGGUCAGGUUAAGACCAGGUACAUACAGGUUAGGACCAGGUACAUACAGGUCAGGUUAGGACCAGGUACAUACAGGUCAGGUUAGGACCAGGUACAUACAGGUUAGGACCAGGUACAUACAGGUUAGGUUAGGACCAGGUACAUACAGGUCAGGACCAGGUAUAUACAGGUCAGGUCAGGACCAGGUAUAUACAGGUCAGGUUAAGACCAGGUACAUACAGGUUAGGACCAGGUACAUACAGGUCAGGUUAGGACCAGGUACAUAUAGGUUAGGACCAGGUACAUACAGGUCAGGACCAGGUAUAUACAGGUCAGGUCAGGACCAGGUACAUACAGGUCAGGUCAGGACCAGGUACAUACAGGUUAGGUUAAGACCAGGUACAUACAGGUCAGGUUAGGACCAGGUACAUAGGUCAGGUUAGGACCAGGUACAUACAGGUCAGGUUAGGACCAGGUACAUACAGGUCAGGUUAGGACCAGGUACAUACAGGUCAGGUCAGGACCAGGUACAUACAGGUCAGGUUAGGACCAGGUACUUACAGGUCAGGUUAGGACCAGGUACAUACAGGUCAGGUCAGGACCAGGUACAUACAGGUCAGGACCAGGUACAUACAGGUCAGGUUAGGACCAGGUAUAUACAGGUCAGGUUAAGACCAGGUACAUACAGGUUAGGACCAGGUACAUACAGGUCAGGUUAGGACCAGGUACAUAUAGGUUAGGACCAGGUACAUACAGGUCAGGACCAGGUAUAUACAGGUCAGGUCAGGACCAGGUACAUACAGGUCAGGUCAGGACCAGGUACAUACAGGUUAGGUUAAGACCAGGUACAUACAGGUCAGGUUAGGACCAGGUACAUACAGGUCAGGUUAGGACCAGGUACAUACAGGUUAGGACCAGGUACAUACAGGGCAGGUUAGGACCAGGUACAUACAGGUCAGGUUAAGACCAGGUACAUACAGGUUAGGACCAGGUACAUACAGGUCAGGUUAGGACCAGGUACAUACAGGUCAGGUUAGGACCAGGUACAUACAGGUCAGGUUAGGACCAGGUACAUACAGGUUAGGACCAGGUACAUACAGGUCAGGUUAGGACCAGGUACAUACAGGUUAGGACCAGGUACAUACAGGUCAGGUUAGGACCAGGUACAUACAGGUUAGGACCAGGUACAUACAGGUCAGGUUAAGACCAGGUACAUACAGGUCAGGUUAGGACCAGGUAUAUACAGGUCAGGUCAGGACCAGGUACAUACAGGUUAGGACCAGGUACAUACAGGUCAGGUUAGGACCGGGUACAUACAGGUCAGGUUAGGACCAGGUACAUACAGGUCAGGUUAGGACCAGGUACAUACAGGUCAGGUUAGGACCAGGUACAUACAGGUCAGGUUAGGACCAGGUACAUACAGGUUAGGUUAGGACCAGGUACAUACAGGUUAGGACCAGGUACAUUCAGGUCAGGUUAGGACCAGGUACAUACAGGUCAGGUCAGGACCAGGUAUAUACAGGUCAGGUUAAGACCAGGUACAUACAGGUUAGGACCAGGUACAUACAGGUCAGGUUAGGACCAGGUACAUACAGGUCAGGUUAGGACCAGGUACAUACAGGUUAGGACCAGGUACAUACAGGUUAGGUUAGGACCAGGUACAUACAGGUCAGGACCAGGUAUAUACAGGUCAGGUCAGGACCAGGUAUAUACAGGUCAGGUUAAGACCAGGUACAUACAGGUUAGGACUAGGUACAUACAGGUCAGGUUAGGACCAGGUACAUAUAGGUUAGGACCAGGUACAUACAGGUCAGGACCAGGUAUAUACAGGUCAGGUCAGGACCAGGUAUAUACAGGUCAGGUCAGGACCAGGUACAUACAGGUCAGGUUAGGACCAGGUACAUACAGGUCAGGUCAGGACCAGGUACAUACAGGUCAGGUCAGGACCAGGUACAUACAGGUUAGGACCAGGUACAUACAGGUCAGGUUAGGACCAGGUACAUACAGGUCAGGUUAGGACCAGGUACAUACAGGUUAGGACCAGGUACAUACAGGUCAGGUUAGGACCAGGUACAUACAGGUUAGGUUAAGACCAGGUACAAACAGGUUAGGACCAGGUACAUACAGGUCAGGUUAGGACCAGGUACAUACAGGUCAGGUUAGGACCAGGUACAUACAGGUUAGGUUAAGACCAGGUACAAACAGGUCAGGACCAGGUACAUACAGGUCAGGUUAGGACCAGGUACAUACAGGUCAGGUUAGGACCAGGUACAUACAGGUCAGGUUAGGACCAGGUACAUACAGGUCAGGUUAGGACCAGGUACAUACAGGUCAGGUUAGGACCAGGUACAUACAGGUUAGGACCAGGUACAUACAGGUCAGGUCAGGACCAGGUACAUACAGGUCAGGUUAGGACCAGGUACAUACAGGUCAGGUUAGGACCAGGUACAUACAGGUCAGGUUAGGACCAGGUACAUACAGGUUAGUUUAAGACCAGGUACAAACAGGUUAGGACCAGGUACAUACAGGUUAGGUUAAGACCAGGUACAAACAGGUCAGGACCAGGUACAUACAGGUCAGGUUAGGACCAGGUACAUACAGGUCAGGUUAGGACCAGGUACAUACAGGUCAGGUUAGGACCAGGUACAUACAGGUCAGGUUAGGACCAGGUACAUACAGGUUAGGACCAGGUACAUACAGGUCAGGUCAGGACCAGGUACAUACAGGUUAGGACCAGGUACAUACAGGUCAGGUUAGGACCAGGUACAUACAGGUCAGGUUAGGACCAGGUACAUACAGGUCAGGUUAGGACCAGG